rnacentral:lncRNA from 10 species
UUUUAUGUUGUCAUAUAGCAGGCCAGAUUGAUUUAGGUAAAAACAACACUCUUCAUUUAAAAAUAUACAGAGUCCUCCUUUUUCAGCAGUGAGUAAAUCGCGGCCUUGGCCGUUCUGGAGGACAACUGCAGCUAAAGAGUUAACCUGGGCUUGGAGAACAGAUAAAGUUUGUGAUCUAUCUGUAGUGCUAGCAGAGAAGUCAUUAGAGAGGCUGCGGACUGUUGUGACAGAGGUUGAGAUGCCUGCUAUUCCAGUUCCAAGUGCAAUACUGGAGGCAGAAAGUCCUAGACCAAUAAGUAAAGGGAUUAGUGGGAUGACUCUUUUUUGUUGUGUUGAUGUCAUGAGGGGGACAGGCAGUUGUUCGUUCCCAUCUGCAAACUGGAUUUUGGAGGUAAGGAAGACUAGAGUACAUGUGCCCAUCCAUUUGGCAGGUAGGCACAUGUAGGUGGAAGAGCCACAUAAAAAGAAGAGACCUUGUGUCAGGCAGAACUGGAAAUGUAAAGAUGGGGUGAGAUGCAGGGUAGGUGUCUUCCUAAACAAUAGUGACUGCCAAUGUUUUUUAGUUUGUCAAUAAUGAUAGAGGGCUUGUCAGUAAUGCGAAGUUGGAAUGCUCCCAUCUGUUUGGUAAUGUGUGUGGCUGGGUUCUGGAGACAAAGAGUAAAGGAACAUUU